CACGUAGGGGGCAAGCGUUGUCCGGAUUUAUUGGGCGUAAAGAGCUCGUAGGCGGUUCGCUAAGUCGGGUGUGAAACCUCCAGGCUCAACCUGGAGACGCCACCCGAUACUGGUGUGACUCGAGUCCGGUAGGGGAGCGUGGAAUUCCUGGUGUAGCGGUGAAAUACGCAGAUAUCAGGAGGAACACCGGUGGCGAAGGCGGCUCUCUGGACCACAACUGACGCUGAGGCGCGAAAGCUAGGGGAGCAAACAGG
rnacentral:rRNA from 1 species